GGGAUUGUGGCUUAGCGGUAGAGCGCUCGCCUACCAUGCAUGGGGCCCUGGGUUCAAUCCUCAGCACCA
rnacentral:tRNA from 1 species